rnacentral:rRNA from 1 species
UACGAAGGGGGCUAGCGUUGCUCGGAAUCACUGGGCGUAAAGCGCACGUAGGCGGCUUCUUAAGUCAGGGGUGAAAUCCUGGAGCUCAACUCCAGAACUGCCUUUGAUACUGGGAAGCUUCGAGUCCGGAAGAGGUGAGUGAACUGCGAGUGUAGAGGUGAAAUUCGUAGAUAUUCGCAAGAACACCAGUGGCGAAGGCGGCUCACUGGUCCGGUACUGACGCUGAGGUGCGAAAGCGUGGGGAGCAAACAGG